rnacentral:pre_miRNA from 1 species
UGGUUGGUAAAUAUAAUUCAGUGACUGCUAUUUUCAAAAGAGAUCUGCCUGUUUUAAUAAUUGUGAAAUGCAUUAGCCAUUCUUUGCAUUUAUACGCGGAAAAAGCGGCUGAAUUAUUACCACGCCA